UCGAGGAUCUUCGGCAAUGGGCGCAAGCCUGACCGAGCGACGCCGCGUGGAUGAUGAAGGCCUUCGGGUUGUAAAAUCCUGUCGAGGGGAGGAAAGCCGCAAGGUUGAUCUGCCCCUGGAGGAAGGGCGGGCUAAGUUCGUGCCAGCAGCCGCGGUAAGACGAACUGCCCAAACGUUGUUCGGAAUCACUGGGCUUAAAGGGCGCGUAGGCGGCAUGUCAAGUCAGGGGUGAAAUCCGGCAGCUCAACUGUCGAAGUGCCUUUGAUACUGACGUGCUCGAGGGAGGUAGGGGUCUGUGGAACUUCUGGUGGAGCGGUGAAAUGCGUUGAUAUCAGAAGGAACGCCGGUGGCGAAAGCGACGGACUGGACCUUUUCUGACGCUGAGGCGCGAAAGCUAGGGGAGCAAACGGGAUUAGAUACCCCCGUAGUCC
rnacentral:rRNA from 1 species